rnacentral:lncRNA from 10 species
ACUCAGCUAAGAGGACUUUGCAGUUGAGGCUGAAUCUUGAUCCAUGUAGUCCAUUCCCGAUGGUGCUAUUUAGAAGGCCUUUUGUUGUCUGAGCAAAGUUGUCUUCCUGGCCUUACUACUGAAUCUUGGCAAAGGAUCAAUGGGUGUGAAUCAUGGCAAUACAGUGAAAGACAGUGAUUUACUGCUUUUGAGGGCGUGCAUGUAUAUGAUUAACGGAUGGAAGUGCAGGACUCCAAGAUUUACUUCCUUCCCUUUCCAGCAGAAUUACCUGAGACGAGUAAAAUCUACUGGUGGAGUCACUCCAUUAUUCUUAUCUGUGGAGAUCUAGAUCUUGAUUUGAAAGUUUCUGAGAAAAUCUUCAGCUCAGACUUGAGGGUCAACUUUACCAGCUGAAGUGACUACAUCCUGCCUGCUUUCAGCUCCAGUGGAAAAUGCAUUAAUCCCAGAGUCUCCGUGAGGUUUCCUGUUUGAUGACAUAAUCAGAAAAUCCUCCUCACAUUGCCCUUGGGGUUGCUGUCUGGAUGUUAUGUUGUCUUGGAUCUGCAUUUACUGCUCAACCACAUCUAAUUUGAUGUCCUCUGCAGAUUUAAAAUGUGUGCCUUCUUUUCCGUCACCAAGUCAUCCCUGGGUUACUACUGAACAUCCUUCUCAAUUCCCCCCGACCCAUGGAUGGCUGUUCUCCAUUGUCUGUUUCACCAGAUGUCCUCAAAACAAACAGACAGAAGAAGGAAGUGGCUAAUGGAGCUGUGGAGUCCAAGUGUGACUGCCAAGAGGAAUCCAGCAAAGCCAAAAAGCCCAAGCAUGUAGCCCUGCCCGAAGCACGCCACACGCAUGGAAAACCCAGAGGAAAUGAGUGAGGAUCAAUGGGAAGAAGAGAGCCAGCCAGGAAGUUGAAGAUUUGUCCAGGAGCAGAUAGCUGAAGAGAGAGAGAGAGAAGAGAGAACGGCUUACAGCUCAGUUCUGGAGACCAGAAGGCCAAAAUCAAAAGUAUGGGCAGGCUUGAUUUCUUUAGAAGACUCCAGCGGAGAACUGUGUCUCCUUGCUUCUGAUUCUACAUCUCCAUCCAUGGGCCACUGUUUCAGCAACCUCAGCCAGUGCAACACAACCUCAGCCAAGAAGAGUAUGCAGAGAAAGGAGUCCCCUACCUGCCACAAAACUGUUGUCUGAAAACUGUCUCAUAUUGUCUCAAGUUGUCAUUCAUUGUGAAUUAGACCUGUUUAACAUGUAAUCUGCAACAUGCUUCACUGUCUAAUUUUCCAGAGCCCCUCAUAUAAGGAACUGUAUUAUUGGUAUAAUCAUCAUGGUGAAGAAGUUGGUAUGUGGGGGAGAGAUGACAGAAACAGAGAGUAAGUCAGAGCUGGCUGCCUGACAGAUAAAAAGGAAAUGACCAAAAAAAAAAAAAAAGACACAGAAGAAUACUUUGUUGUCCACACAGAAAAGGGAAGUGUAGGUAAGACAGCAGUAGACUAAGAUUCUUAAGACUCAAGUUCUAGUCUUAUUUAUUAGCUAUGGGAGGCCUUGAGGGAGUUCUAGAAUUAAGUGAUCUCUCUUUAUAAAAUAGGAACAGUAAUAACUUCCUGGCUAACUCCCUGGCUGUCUCACAAUGCUGUAGUAGUAAGAAAUAAUUUUAUAAUUAAAGACUAUUUUAGGGCUGAUUACAUUUUUGGGCAGUGGCUCAUACAUGUAAUUUCAACAUUUUGGGAGGCCAAGGUGGGCGGAUUGCUUGAGCCCAGGAAUUCAAGACCAGGCUGGGCAACACAGACCUUGUCACUACAAAAGAAAAAAACAUUAGCUAGGCGUGGUGAUGUAUGCCUGUGGUCCCAGCUACUCAGGAAGCUGAGACAGGAGGAUCACCUGAGCCUGGGAGGUCGAGGCUACAGUGAGCCAUGAUCACACUACUGCACUCCAGCCUGGGAAACAGAGUGAGACUCUGUCUCAAAAAAAAAAAAAAAGGAAUAUUUUACACUUCAAGGUUCUAUACAAAUGUAAAAUAUCAUUCUAUUACUUAUUUAUAAUGCUGAUUAUUCUUUAAAUGACUUUAAAAUGUUAAUCUCUGCUUGAGCCUACGGAGAAGUAUGUAACAAAUUUGUGAAGGAUUGGCAUUAAACAUAGUCAAAAUAAAACAUAGAAAUUAUGGUAAAUAAUUUAACUGGUAAAAUAAUCUAAGUGGUAGUUCUCAGGUAAGUGGAAAUUCGAUUAGCUGAUUGUUUAGGAUUCUUGGUUAUAAGUGACAGAGACCUGACUAAAAGUACAUGAAGCACAUAACUGAGAAGGUUGUGGUAUGGCUCAGCAGAAAUGGGAAAAUCUUGGGACUGGUUCGUGUUUUAUUUACAUUAUCUUUGUUCCCAGGCAGUCUCUGCAUGUAAGUGGCAAAGAUGACUGUCUGAAAAUAUAUACCUACUUUUUUAAAGGGCUAUCUCAAGCCAUUCUGGAGAAGCACCAAAAGCCACUUUGCUUAUACUGGGAGAAUAGUUUGCUUUCCCUAAUUUGUGAUGAGUGAAACACUGAACAGAGACAUAGAAUAAUAUUCUGUAGUUCAGGGUUGGUGUAAUAUGGCCAGUGGGCGGAAUCUGGUCCUCAGACUGAUUUUGCAAAUAAUCUUAUAGAAACACAGCAACACCCAUUCAUUACAUGUUGUUUAUGGUUGCUUUGGGGUUACAAUGGCAGAGUUGAGUAGUUGUGACAGAGAUCACUAGGCUCACCACAUCUGAGAUAUGUACUGACUGACCCUGUACAGAAAGUUUGCUGCUCUUAGAGGAAUGUGUGUUUCUAGUGUCAGCAAUAAACUUCUUGGAUUUGUUUUGUUUUCUCAUCUUUACAUGAUAGUUGCAGACUAGUUGAUCCUUGUGACCUGUUUUUGAAUGCCACUGUGUAUUCUGUCAGGGCCCUCUGAUUCUGUUUCUUAUGGUGCUGAAUGCACAAUUUAAUGCCCUGGAAUUUCCUUCUGUCUUCUGCUAAACUCAUGCCUCUUCAGAUAGUUAAAAUCCUGUUCUACCUUAGAAGUCUCCAGAGUUAUUUUCCUAAAUUAAGAAGAACUGGCUUUGAAGUUACUCAUUAUGCCACACACAAUGGUUGAAAAGAGCAUCUCUUAUGUACUGUGUAUAUUUCAGCAUCCACUCAGCUUCUUAGGUAGAAAAGGAAGAGUCUUCCACAGUGUAUUUUAUCCAUAUUUGGGUCAGAAACUCUUCUUUACCACGGAGCGUGAUGGAAGAAAGAUAUGGGAUGGUAACAGUAGGCCAGGGAUGUAAUAAUCACAAAAUUUGAGAUAUUUUGUGACUGGUGACUCACGCCUGUGAUCCCAGCAUUUUGGGAGGCCAAAGCGGGCGGAUCACCUGAGGUCAGGAGUUCAAGACCAGCUUGGCCAAUGUAGUGAAACCUCAUCUCUACUAAAAAAAUAUAAAAAUUAGCUGGGUGUGGUGGUGCACACCUGUAAUCCUAGCUACUCAGGAGGCUGAGGCAGGAGAAUAGCUUGAACCAAGGAGGUGGAGGUUGCAGUGAGCUGAGAUUGUGCCACCACUGCAUUCCAGUCUGGGUGACAGAGCGAGACUCUGUCUCAAAAAAAAAAAAAAAAAAAAUCUAGAAAAAGAUCUCCAAGAUUCAAUCAUCUAAUUAUUUCUUUUAAAAAUGAGAAAAAUGACUCCUGGUCAGCUUUUACCUUCUUUUUCCAACUGUCUUGACAAUACUUUCAUAUUGGGCUUUUAAAGUCUCAAGUAAUAGGUUUUUAAAACCUCAGCUGAUAAAAGUAUAAAAAUAAAGUUAAAACAUAUUAAAGACAAAACCCAAGAAUCAGCUUCCUCUUCCUUCAUUACUCUUGCAUGGGUGUUGGCUCUAAUUUCUCCAUCUAGUUAGGCAGUCCUUUGCUUUUUAUUGCUUGUUUAUUGAUGACAUUUGCCAUUUGUAGCAAUAGUAAUAGAAUCAUCUAUAUAUUUGUGGCCUUGUUGAAUGUAGAAAAAGGAUAGUGGCAUUUUCUAAUUGUGUAACCCUAUAACACCUUGACGGGGGACUACAGUUCAUAUGCUGGACCUUUUGUGUUUGUUCAUGGCGGGUGGGUUGCUUUAAUAUACUUAGCACAUUGUCCUAAUUGCCAUCCUUUUGGGGAGGGCUAUAUAUCCAAGCUAAUAUGGUAGCAUUUUUGUUUUAACAUAGAGCUGACCCAAGGUAGACGUAAGUGUUGUUCAUUUUUGCCUAAUACUAAUAAAAUUACCUAAUUGUUGAAGCUUGGAGCUUGAAUCUAGGCAUUUUAUUUCAUUUCAAGUACACCCUAGUAUUUUAAAGCAUAAAUAUCCUACUAUCCUCAACAACUUUAGAACAAAAAUAAAUAUUUUAACAAGAAAAAAGCAUGCCAUGACAAGCUGUAACUUAGUAAAGAAAGACAAGGAAUGGUCUCUAUAGACCGAGAAAAAAUAGGUCCUCAGAUAUAUUUAUACCAAAGGAAUGUUAUGAAUGUAAAAAACAGUUUGACUCCCCCCCCCCCGCCAAAAAAAAACUCCACAACCCUAUAUUUUGUUAUCACAAGACUGUUUUAGUGAAUAAAACAGUAUGAAUUGGUUUUACCUGUUUCCAUUUAAUACUUAUUAACUUUAUAAUCGUAUAGCCUGAGGGUUUUAACUUCAAGUACAGCAUGAUGACUAUAAUAGUUUUACACAAGGCAAAUGUGAAAAACAGAAGUAAUUUCUUUUAAAAAGUGUGAAAUAUCUAAAAGGUAUGACUUCAAUACAUCAACUCAGGUGAGACAGACAUGUAACUUCUUUUUCCAUGUUUAAACCUAAUAUUGCUUUUGUGCCUCUGAAGGCUCGGAGUUUCCAUGCCUUCUUAGGACAUGCCACCCUCUCCACACCUGGAUGUGUUCACCAACCCAGAAGCUCUUGGAACCCCAUCAUUUGGGGUUUUUAUGGAGUCCCCAUUAAGUAGGUAUGACUGAUUAAAUCACUGGCCAUUGGUGGUUGACUCAAUCUCCAGCCUCUCUUCCCUCUCUGAAGGUGAAGGGGUGGGAAGGUGAGGCUAAGUUCCAACCCUCGGAUCACAGGGUUGGUUCCUCUGCAACCAGGCUUCAUCGUGAAACAAUACAGGGCCCACCGAGAGUCACCCCAUUAGCAAACUCAGAUGUGAUUGAAAGGGGCUUAUUAUGAAUAUCAAAAGACAUUUCUCUUUCUCCUAUUACUCAGACAGUUACAAGGGUUUCAGAAGCUCUUGCACCAGGAACUGGGAACAAAGACCAAAUAUAUAUGUCUUCUUCUAUUACAAUGUCACAGGUGUGACAGAGUAGGUAAAUGGAGUCUCAGAGAGUCCCCAGAGUAUUCCAUGGAGCCACAAAAUGAAGAAUAAAUGGAUGGUUCUCCCCAUGAUCAAAAGUGGCCUGAAAAUACUUGAGAAUGAGUCAUAACUUAAAAGGCUGUAUAGUAGAAAAGAAUGCACAGAGGACCGAAUGUAAAAGAAGGCACCCCAGUCUCAGCUAGUGUGGAUGCAUGCCAGUGUAGAAAGAUGCUAGUGUGGCUACAUUGGUGCACUGAAGACCAAACUCCUGCAUGGCCCCACAUCCUUGAUACCUUAGAUCUAUAUCAUCCCCUAAAACUUAGGUGUUAUGACAUUCAGGAUAUGCUACCCCAUCAUUUUUUAGGCUGAAGGAAUUUGAGAAAACAGAAGCAGGAAUGUAAUUGCCCAGUGGGUUCUUCCUGCCCUGUGCACAGACAAAACCAGUUCACUGAGACCAUGGUAUUGCAGUUAAGAAAGAGUUUAACAGGAGGCUGGCCACAUGGAAGAAUUACAGUUAUUACAAAUUAGUCUCCCUGAAGGCUCAGAGGUCAGGGUUUUUCAUGGAUAGUUCGGUGAGCAGUGGAUUAGGGGUAAGUGCUGCUGAUUGGUUGGGGAUACAAUCAUAGGGGUGUGGAAAAUGGUCCUUGUGUGCUGAGUCACCUCUGGGUGGGAGGCCAUGGGACCCAUUGAGUCAUGAGUCACGAGGCUGGGUUGGGUCAGUGUGAAAAACAUCUCAAAAGACCAAUCUUAGGUUCAAAAUAGGUGAUAUUACCUGUAGGAGCAAUUGGGAAAGUUAUAAAUUAUAUGACCUCUUGGCCCCAUGACUUCUGAGCAGUAAGAGAUGAUAGAAACUAAACCUACAUUUUAUCAGCACUCAGGCCUCUUCCAUAAUCCUAAUCUUGUGGCCUUUCGUUAGUCUUAUAAAGGUGGUUUGGUAACUGCCCUCAAGCAAGGAGGGGAUCAGUUUUAGGGAGGUGCUAUUAUCAUCCUUGCUUCAAAGUUAAGCUGUAAACUAAAUUCCUCCCAUAAUUAGCUUGGCCUACACCCAGAAAUGAGCAAAGACAGCCAGCCUGUGAUGUUAGAAGCAAGAUGGAGUUAGUCAUGUUAGAUUUCUCUCACUGUCAUAAUCUUUGCAAGGGAGGUUCCAGGAAGGUCAUCCUACCUUUCCCCUCACCCUUCUCAUGUGACACAGGUCAUAAAGCCUAGGAAGGAUUUUCCGACCUUUCCCUGAAGCAGGUCGUAAGACCCUCAUUGGGGAGGUGCCAUUUCUAGACCAAGAGAAAAGGCACAUCCUUAUGUCUGAAGACACAGGGACACAGAGAAGAAUCUGAACAAACAGGUCUUGCUAAGUUCCCCCCAGUUUGUUUUCAUUAGAUCAUGCCCCUUUAUUCAAUGCUGUUUCUCCACAACUAUCCAUUUCUUCAUCAAGCCUAGCAUAAAAAAUACAGGUUUCACGGUUUCUUUGGGUCUUCAUUUCCUUAUAAAGUCUCCUGUACCAUGUAAAACUUAAAUAAGUUUCUCUGCUUUUCUCUUGUUGAUUCUGUCCUUUGUUUUAUAACCCUCAGACAUGAACCUAGUGAUGAGUGAGGGGAAGAUAAUUUAUUUUCCUCUACAGAUGCAAAAGGGAAAAGGGAACAAUCCCUAAACGGAAGUUAUGAUCCAGGGAUCAGAGGCUCAAAAGCAAGAUUAGGUUUAAAUGUAGAAAAAUACAUUCCUCUUUCAUUUUAGAUAUCCCAAAUGCCCAAAUCAACCCAGCUAUUUCUCAGAAGUCUGUUUCCCCUCCACCCUCUGCUCCUCUGUGUAGUGAAACUGUCUCGUUUGGGAGUAAAAUGGCCUGGCUUUCCUUACUGAGUAUACUCUCAAGACUAUUGCCUAUUACUUUUUUCCAUUCCUUCUUGAGAACUACGCUUUUUAAAACAAGAAUUGACUCCAUUUAUCUUUUUCUUUUAGCCUUCUGCUGGGGUAUGCCUUCUCUAAAGCAAUGAAUAAAAAAUGCUUUAGCUGAAUAAAUGGGGCAAGGAUCAAGGAGUACAAGCUAAUAUUUCACAAUAUUAUCCUGCCAUAAAUAAAAGUAUGGUUUAAAUGACAAUGGUGGGGUUAGGAGUUACAGGUCACUGAAACACCACCUUAUUCAUGCUACCAGCCCCUUGGCUUUCCUGAUGGCAGCAGGGAAGCAACACAUAGGUAGAAUUAUGAGCCAACAUCGUGACUGGAGAGGGAUUGAAAAUCUUAUUUGUUGUCUUCCUAGACUAUUACAGUUAUCUGUUGAAAUUAGACUCAAUUCUUUGGCGAAAGUACUCAUUUUUAAGGUCCAUAAUAAAUUGUAACUAUGUAGCCUUUGUUGCAUGAGUUUAGUAUGAGCUGAUUGGUGGGCCACAGUGAAAGGCAGAGGGAAAUGGAUGUUAACUAAGAGGUAGAAGUCCCCUUGAAGUUCUGACCCUGUCACUAAUGAAGUCUUUAUUUCCGUAUUUAGUAAUUGCCUUUUUUUUUUUUUUUUGAGACAGAGUCUUGCUCUGUCGCCAGGAUGGGGUACAGUGGCACAGUAUCUGCUCACUGCAACCUCCGCCUCCCAGGUUCAAGCAGUUCCCCUGCCUCAGCUUCCUGAAUAGCUGGGACUACAGGUGUCUGCCGCCAUGCCUGGCUAAUUUUUGUAUUUUUAGUAGAGACGGGGUUUCACUAUGUUGGCCAGGAUGGUCUCGAUCUCCUGACCUCGUGAUCUGCCCACCUCAGCCUCCCAAAGCUAGGAUUACAGACGUGAGCCACCAUGCCCGGCCAACUGCCUUCUUUAUAUCUCAUUUUAAAAAUUUAUAACAAAGAAGUGGGUUGAUUUUCAAGACCUAGUUGUGUUAGUUUGAAUGAGAUGCAUACAUUUGGCAAGUCUGGGGUCUAAGAAAAGAUAAAGAUCUGAAUGCUGAAAAUCUAGAGAAUUCAGGUUACUGGGGGAUAACUUAAAGUCACUAGGGAAUUCGGGUUACUGGGGGGAUAACUUAAGGUCACUAGGGAAUUCGGGUUACUGGGGGGAUAACUUAAGGUCACUAGAACCCAAAUGCAGGGAAGAGUUGGGUGCUCUUUGGCAAAUAAACAUUCCUGACUUAGCAUUUUUCUUAAACCCGAACGUGCCAGCUGUUUUUUUGUUUUUUUGUUUUUUUGUUUUGUGACCUCAGCCAGGCUUGCGUGUUUAUUCAUCACAUAUUCUAAGCUCAUAUACAACUGUGACCUGAUCCAGCCUUCAAGGAACUCACUCUUGAUUUUAGGAAUCUUUCCACCACUUCGAUUUCAUCUUACUCCUGAAACAGUCAGCCAGAACUGUCUAAUUCAGUCUAUACUUCUGAUACAAAACUCUACCCAGCAACCACUAUGGUUUUGUUGCUUUAGGUACGUGUUAGAAAGCACCCACAUCAAUUUACAGAAAAUCCUUAACUGAAUCUCUAGUCCCAGAGGAGUCAUAUUUUAUUAUAUGGUGCUUUUUAUUUAAAGAGAUCGGUUUAAUAGAAAUUACUCAGGCAUUUGAAGUGAUAGCUUUAAAAUGUGGGACUGGGGAAAAUAAGAACACUUGACCUCUCUCCAUAAAAUUGAAUUGUUCUUUAGGUUUAAAGUUUUGACAGACAAAGAGAAAGUGAGAGCAAGUGAGGGUGAAAAUAUAUCCUUAUUUGGUAAUGAGUACCCAUUAAGAGGACAGUAUAUUACAUUUCAUCUUCUUACUUCACAUUCCUGUUUUAAGGAUUUGUGAGCAAAGUGCUGUGAGACCUCUAGAGUUAAGAGGCUGGAGAUAGGUAGUUUUGAUGGUAUUUUAAGGAGUGCUCCAUAAUGUGUAGUGUCUGAGUGCUGAAGCUUAAUCAGCUUCAAUUAAAUCCAAAACAUACUGAAUAGCUCCUAUGUGUCUGGCAUUGAGCUGUGUGCCAAAGUGGUGGAAAGAUGUAAGAGCCACUGAGGCUUAGAGAUGAAAAGGAUCUUGGAGCCACUGGUUUCCUGCCUGCUGGAGUUUCACCAUCAAGGACCCUUUCGUUAUUUUCCUUCUCCCAUGCAUUUUAUUAAAAUUUUUGGUUUAGUAAACCAAAUUCACUAAUGGGAUGUUAUUUUCAUAUCAAAGAGUAUAAUUCUGCCAAUCAAGGCUUCUGAUCAGCAUAAAAUAAUUAGGUUUCAUACUGAAUGCACAAAUUCUAGUCAAAAGCAAAGCCAUUUGAUGACAUGUCUGCUAUGUUGCCAUUUGCUUUAAGAGAGGUAAAGGUAGCCUGACUUCUGUUCACUCUGUAGUACAGAAUACAUUGUUAACAAGUCAUAGGUAUGUUCUUUUAGGUUUCUAAUUACUGUCAGCCUCUCAUUUCAGACAGGUGAUGUGAUAAGGUGAAAUGAUUACUAUAUUUAGACUCAAAAGUCCUGAGUUUGAGUCCUCGUUUAACGAUCUAGUCCAUGAGCUUCAGUUUUCUCACCUGUUAAAUGGAAAUGAUGAUUAUUUCCUGGAAAUUGCAUUUCCAGGUUGUUUUGAAUGAUAAAUGAUAUGGUGUAUAUAUCAGCUGUUUGCAAACCAGAAAAAGCUAUUCUAUGGUAAACACAUGCAGUGGGCUGAAUUGUGUCUCCCAAAAUUCAUAUGUUGAAGUCCUCACCCCCAGGGCCUCAGAAUGUGACUGUAUUUGGAUCUAGGGUCUUCAAGAGAUAACUAAGUUAGAAUGAGGUCAUUUGGGUUGAUCCUAAUCCAACUGACUGAUAUCCUUAUAAGACGACGAAAUUUGGAUACAGAAAUACACAGAAGACAGGGAGAAGAUGGCCAUCUACAAGCUAAGGAGAGAGGCCUCAGAAGAAACACACCUGCCACACCUUGAAUUUGGACUUCUAGCCAUCAGAACUGUGGGAAAAUAAAUUUCUGUUGUUUAAGCCAGGAGUCCUCAACCCCCGGGCUGUGGACCUGUACCAGUCGGUGGCAUGUUAAGGACUGGGCUCCACAGCAGGAGGUGAGUGGUGGGCGAGUGAGCAUUACUGCCUGAGCUCCACCUCCCGUCAGAUCAGCAGUGGCAUUAGAUUCUCAUAGGAGCACAAACCCUAUUGUAAACUGAGCACGCAAGGGAUCUAGGUUGUGCGCUCCUUACGAGAAUCUAAUGCCUGAUAAUCUGAGAUUGAACAGUUUUAUCCCCAAACCAUCCCCUCCACCACCCCCGUGGUCUGUGGAAAAAUUGUCUUCCACAAAACUGGUCCCUGGUGCCGAAAAGGUUAGGGACCAGCGGCUCAAGCCACCCAGCCUGUGGUACUUUGUUACGGUAGCCCUGGCAAAUGAAUACAACACGUUUUAGACUAUGAUGUUACACAUGCAGUGUGUUGAGAGCCAAAGAACCCAAAUGAUUCGUGGUAUCUGCCCUUGAAGAGUUUUUAAUCUUUUUGGGCAUGAUGAAACAUACACAUGGAAAAUAAAAUAGCAUAUAACCAAGUGCCCAAAUCAGUAAUAAAUACAGUUGACUCCAUAAACAUUUAGGAACCUUCUAUCCCAUGUUUCCACAUUCUAUCCCAGUGGCUUUUGCCACUAAAUUUCUUCACCCACUAUUAGACUGAUGUUUUCAUCUUUCAGUAUCAGACUCAAGCUUUAAUCUAGAAAGAGGGGGUGGGGGGAUAAAUGCUAUACUUUGGAACCAGUCCGGAUAUUUUAAGUAUGUUUUUAAAAAGUAUAAUCCUCACAACAUGAAAGUUAUUAGUUCUAUUUUUCAGGUGAGAAGAGUUAAGGUCAAACAGACGAAAGCUAGUUAGUGGAGGGACUGGUAUUCCAAGCCCAUUCUGGUUAAACUAAAUCUUGUGUUCUUUCCACUAGAAAACUGCUUUUUGUCUUAAUUAUAAUUUUGUGACAAGGAUGUAUAGUCCAUUAAGGAAUAUAUACAACAGAAGAAGCAUUUAAGUGGACUUGAGGUUUGUGAAUCUGAACUAGUUUCUAUCGACUUUCACAUCAGCAGCUCCUAUUCUGGGGAAAGAGAAUGGAGGCUGGGAGUGAUCCUGACAAACCUUGAUGUGCAGGCUUGUGGAGAAACUGGAUUCACACCCAGGCUCGUGGAGUGUGGGAGAGGCUGGCCUGUCACAAUAUCAGGACAGCCUCUCUUAAUAACACUGCAGAAGGAAUCGAGGGCCCUGUGGUUUGCGUUUGUUAGACUUUGGAUGGUGGAGACCUGUGCCUGCUACUUCUCUCAUCUCCUGAUACCUAAUGCAUAGUGUUCAGUAAGUAUUUAUUUGGUGAUAACAAUAUCAAAAACUAGAUAAUGCUUAGAAGAUCCAACACCUUCCAAAAUCUCUGUUAACCAGGUACUGAAAUAUGGUCAACCAGAUGAGCUGAAAUGUCAAGAACUUAUAGACACACAUGGUUUCAUGGUUGUGAAACUAGAAGAUGUGGCAUAUUUUACACAAUGGAGGGAAGAGCAAAGGUUAUGCAUGUGCGGAGGCAGAGCCCCUAGGCAGGUUUCCCUCUUUUCCUUCCUGUGCACUGAUUUUUAUUUUGGUGAACUGAAACAGGGGUCUAACAAACUGGUAUCUCAUUUGUCUUUAUAAACAGAACUGCCAGAUUGGCUUUGCAAUUCAGGGCCCUGUAGGGUGCCCACCUCCUCAGUUUGGGCAGCAGCAUUACAUCUGAGUCUUAGAAUAAAAAUGGAAAGCAAUGGCUCAACCCAUUGGUUUGUCACCAUCCACAUGAAGGAUCUCUAUUGGUAAAAAAACAGACUCCCGUGUUCAAGGCCCUGGGGCUGGAAUCAAAUCCAUCAUUCAUUUAUUUCGGUUUUUUAAGGCUAAAUACAUAGGGAAGAAAAUGAAAUGUGAGAAAGCUGUGCAUUUUCAAUGUCAUCUUGAAAGUGAGUAUCUUUAGACACAUAAAGUAGAUGAGUGGUUAACUUGGGCUGGGAGAGGGAGUGAGGAGUGGUUGUACAUGGCACAAGGUUUCUAUUUAGUGUGAUUGAAAUGUUCUAUAAUUUGAUUGAUGAUUGUACAGUUCUGUAAAUAAACUAAAAUGUAUUGAAUUGUAUAAUUAAAACAUGCAGAUUUUAUAUUUAAAAUAUACUUUGAUAAAAGUGUUUUAAAAAUGAAUAUCUCAUAGGGUAGAAUGAAAUGAAUAAGAGAAACAGUGAGGCAUCCAGGGGACUUUCUGCACAGUGGGUCUGUCAUUAGGCAGGUACGUUGCCACAGCCAGUUCUAAUGCCCACUCAUAGGCCAAUGCCUAGGACAAUUGCUCAGAUAUCGCCUCUGACAGGCAAGUGUUCCAUCAGUAACAGCAGGCAUCGGAAGAUGAUGCCAUUCCCUGCUGUUAGUAUGAUUAUAUUGACUUAGGUUUUUAAUUUUCUUUCUUGCUGUGUUUUUUUUUUUUCACCUUCUUAGCCUCUAAAGCAUGAACAUCUGUGUUUUUCAG